rnacentral:misc_RNA from 1 species
GAUGAGAACGUAGCGAAAUGCGAUAAGUAAUGUGAAUUGCAGAAUUCAGUGAAUCAUCGAAUCUUUGAACGCACAUUGCGCCCCCUGGUAUUCCGGGGGGCAUGCCUGUUCGAGCGUCAUUUCACCACUCAAGCCUCGCUUGGUAUUGGGCAUCGCGGUCCGCCGCGCGCCUCAAAUCGACCGGCUGGGUCUUCUGUCCCCUAAGCGUUGUGGAAACUAUUCGCUAAAGGGUGUUCGGGAGGCUACGCCGUAAAACAACCCCAUUUCUAAGGUUGACCUCGGAUCAGGUAGGGAUACCCGCUGAACUUAAACAUAUCAAUAAGCGGAGGA